UAUUAUUAAUUUGUUAAUGUUCAGAACUCUUUUUGGUUGAUAUUUGACGUAAACUUAGCUACAAUCGAAAAACUUCCAAAAAAUAUAUCAGACAGUAUAUUUUUACGGCUUUUCUAAACGAAUUCAUACAUUGUAUAGAUUAAAUAAGAUAAAAAACCUACAUGAAUCAAUAAAAUGACAGAUAACAUUGUUGAUAACAUCACAAUCAGCAGUCACAAUGAUGGUGUAACAUUGUCGUUUAAUCCCAGCCAUUGUCCGCGUGCUCUUACAAUACCACGGGAGGUGACACUGCCGAGGGUCGUGGUACUGUGCAGUAGUGGAUCGCGAAACGUUCUUCAAUGUUGCCACUAUAUGCGAAGUGUUGCGACUCGCAUCGAUCUAUUAAUUCAGCCAAUCUCGGUCCACAGCUAGACAUAAGAGAUAGGUACCUAAAUAUUCCUAACUUAUAUUUUACUUGUGAUACAAACCAGUAUGUAUGAAGGUAGAGUGGACUUUGGUCAGCCAUUUGGCUCGCUCAUCGUGAAUAACAGUUUCUAUUCCAGUUUAUUUUGGACUUUGCACUUAUAGUUUAAGUUAUGACAGAACUUAUGUGUACGAAUAACAUGAUAUAAUUUGUUUUUUAUUGCGUCAGGUCAGAGAAGCUCGUGGCUAAGCUUCAAUUGCACAAGUUUAUCGAUCACAGGUUAAGUUACGCUUGAUAUGGUCGGACAGUGGAUGGGUGACCCUGUUAAGCUAAGCCAUGUUUCACCGCGUUAAAAGCACAUUAGAUUGUGGGGCCCGGCUGUUUUAGCAUAUCUUUGACAGUCGUUACAGGAAGUCAGAAGCUUAAAAGUCUGGCAACCAGUCUAACCAAGGGGUAUCGUGUUGCCCAGGUAACUGGGUUGAGGGGGUCAGAUAGGCAGUCGCUCCUUGUACAACACUGGCACUACUAUACUGGGUUGGGAUCGAACCUGCACCUCUUGUAUGGACCCGAAAGUUCAUCAACCAACCAUGAGAGCAAUCUUAAACCGAGGAGAGAUUUGCCUGUGAACCUCUCAGCUAACAGCCAAGAUGUUUUAUGUAAUUUGUUCAAUACUUACUAUAUUAAAAACACAGACUCAGGUAAAAAAAAAACCAAAUAAUCUCAAAAAAUAAUCUUUACUUACAACCAUUUAUACACACCCACACACACAGCGAGACCAAACCGACAAUUGUAGAAAAAUAACAAAUUUGACAAAAAAAAACAUAUUCAAAAUAAAAAUAAUGCAGGAACGUAAACAGUAUAAAUAUUAUGUACAGACUUCAUAAUCUCGCACUCACAAUGGUAAAAAAAAA